rnacentral:tRNA from 1 species
GGCUUCGUAGCUCAGAUGGUAGAGAGCUUGCCGCGUUGAGACAUGCUGUAUUUGUCGUUGGUUCGAAUCCAGUCGAGGCCC